GAAUCUACCAAAAGGACCGGGACAACCACUGGAAACGGUGGCUAAUACCGGAUGAGCCGCAACGUAAAAAGGGAAACCUGCCUUUUGAAGAGCUCGCGUCUGAGUAGCUAGUUGGUGAGGUAAGAGCUCACCAAGGCAGCGAUCAGUAGCUGGUCUGAGAGGAUGACCAGCCACACUGGGACUGAGACACGGCCCAGACUCCUACGGGAGGCAGCAGUGGGGAAUUUUCCGCAAUGGGCGAAAGCCUGACGGAGCAAGACCGCGUGAGGGAAGAAGGCUCUUGGGUCGUAAACCUCUUUUAUCAGGGAAGAAAAAAAUGACGGUACCUGAAGAAUCAGCCUCGGCUAACUCCGUGCCAGCAGCCGCGGUAAUACGGAGGAGGCAAGCGUUAUCCGGAAUUAUUGGGCGUAAAGCGUCCGCAGGUGGCUUAUCAAGUCUGCUGUCAAAGAGUGGGGCUUAACCCCAUAAAGGCAGUGGAAACUGAGAAGCUAGAGUGCCGUAGGGGUAGAGGGAAUUCCCGGUGUAGCGGUGAAAUGCGUAGAGAUCGGGAAGAACAUCGGUGGCGAAAGCGCUCUACUGGACGGCAACUGACACUCAGGAACGAAAGCUAGGGGAGCGAAUGGGAUUAGAUACCCCAGUAGUCCUAGCCGUA
rnacentral:rRNA from 1 species